GGACAUUGGGGGGACAUUGAGGGGACAUUGGGGACAUUGGGGACAUCAGAGAACACCUUGGGGACAUUGGGGGACAUUGGGGGGACAUUGGGGACAUUGGGGAUAUUGGGGACAUUGGGGGACAUUGAGGGGACAUUGGGGACAUCAGAGAACACCUUGGGGACAUUGGGGGGACAUUGGGGACAUUGGGGAUAUUGGGGACAUUGGGGACACUGGGGACAUUGGGGACAUUGGGGACAUCAUUGGGGACAUUGGGGACACUGGGGGACAUUGGGGACAUCAUUGGGGACAUUGGGGACACCUUGGGGACACCUUGGGGACAUUAGGGGACAUUAGGGGACAUUGGGGGACAUUGGGGACAAAGGGACACUACAGGGCAGGAUCAGCAUCUUGAUCACCUGGGGACAUUGGGGACAUCAUUGGGGACAUUGGGGACACUAGGAGGACAUUGGGGAGGACAGCUGGGGACACCACAGGGACACUGUGGGGACAUUGGGGAAUGGGUGGCACAGGGGACAGCAGGGGACAAUGAGAAGGUGACACAGAGGUGGCACAGGAGGUGCCAUAGGUGUCCACAGCUGUCCCCAGGUGUCCCCAGCUGUCCCCAGCUGUCCCCAGCUGUCCCCCAGGUGUCACAGGUGUUCCCAGGUGUGUCACAGGUGUCACACAGAUGUCCCCAGGUGUGUCCCCAGGUGUCCCCAGGUGUCCCCAGCUGUCCCCAGAUGUCCCCAGGUGUCACACAGAUGUCCCCAGGUGUCCCCAGCUGUCCCCAGGUGUCCCCAGGUGUGUCACAGGUGUCACAGGUGUCCCCAGGUGUCCCCAGCUGUCCCCAGGUGUCACAGGUGUCACAGGUGUCACUCACGUCAUGGCCCAGCUCAGCCAGUCCCGCGAUGGAGCCGUAGCGCGUGGUCCAGGGGGUCUUGUCAUCCACCCAGCUCUGGGGACACGGUGACACAGAGUGACACAGAGUGACACAGAGUGACACACGGUGACACACAGUGACACACAGAGUGACACAGUGACACAGAGUGACACACGGUGACACAGAGUGACACACAGAGUGACACACACAGUGACACACGGUGACACACGGUGACACAGAGUGACACACGGUGACACACAGUGACACACGGUGACACAGAGUGACACACGGUGACACACAGUGACACACAGAGUGACACAGAGUGACACACGGUGACACAGAGUGACACAGAGUGACACACAGAGUGACACACAGUGACACACAGAGUGACACACGGUGACACACGGUGACACACAGUGACACACAGAGUGACACACAGACUGACACACGGUGACACACGGUGACACACGGUGACACACAGAGUGACACAC
rnacentral:lncRNA from 1 species